GUUUAUCCUGCGAGAGGUUGCUGCUAUCGGAAUUCGGUUAAGACAUGCAAGUCAGCUUGCCGUCGCAAGACGGUUGGCGGCGUACGGCUCAGUAACACGUCGACAAUCUGCCCUUAGAUCCGAGAUAACCUUGGGAAACUGAGUGUAAUAUCGGAUAACGAAUCGUGUGUGGAAUUCUACUUUUCGUCAAACGUAAGGUCUAAGGAUGGGUCGGCGGUUCAUUAGGUAGUUGGUGAGGUAAAGGCUCUACCAAGCCGAGGAUGAAUAAGGGCUAUGAAAGUAGUUGCCCUGAGAAGGACACUGAGACAAGGGUCCUAGCCCUAAGGGGUGCAGCAGUCGCGAAAACUUUACAAUGCGCGCAAGCGUGAUAAGGGAAUUCCGAGUGCCUAGGUUUAUGACUUAGGCUUUUAACCAGAGCAAAAAUCUGGUAGAAUAAGUGGUGGGCAAGACCGGUGCCAGCCGCCGCGGUAACCCCGGCGCCACGAGUGGGAAUCACUUUUAUUGGGUCUAAAGCACCCGUAGCCGGCAAUGUAAAUGCCCUGUGAAAUAGUCAGGCUCAACCUGACUGCGUGCAGGGUAGACUGCAAUGCUUGAGACCGGGAGAGGUCAACAGUAUUCCUCGGGGAACGGUAAAAUGUUAUAAUCCGAGGAGGACUACCGAUGGCGAAGGCAGUUGGCCAGAACGGAUCUGACGGUCAGGGGUGAAAGCUAGGGUAGCGAUCGGGAUUAGAUACCCCAGUAGUCCUAGCCGUAAACUUUGCGAACUAGAUGUUGCGCAUUCUUUGGGAAUGUGCAGUGUCGCAACGAAGGUGUUAAGUUCGCCACCUGGGAAGUACGGUCGCAAGGCUGAAACUUAAAGGAAUUGGCGGGGGAGCACUACAAGGGGUGCGGCGUGCGGUUUAAUCGAAUUCAACGCCGAAAAUCUCACCAGGGGCGACGGCAGAGUGAAGGUCGGUCUGAUGGGCCUACCUGACGAGCCGAGAGGUGUUGCAUGGCCACCGUCAGCUCGUGCCGUGAGGUGUCCUGUUAAGUCAGGCAACGAGCGAGACCUGCACUUAUACUUGCUAACGCGUCCGCAAGGACGAGCGAGCACAGUAUAAGGACUGCCUUCGAAAGGAGGAGGAAGGCGCAGGCUACGGUAAGUCCGUACGGCCCGAAUCUCCUGGGCUACACGCGCGCAGCAAUGGUACGCACAAUGGGCUGCAACGCCGAAAGGCGAAGCUAAACCUCGAAAGCGUACCUCAGUUAAGAUUGAGGGUUGCAACUCACCUUCAUGACAUCGGAAUCCCUAGUAAUCGGAAGUUAGCAUCUUCCGGUGAAUAUGUCCCUGCUCCUUGCACACACCGCCCGUCAAACCAAUCGAGCGGAGUUUAGGUGAGGUGCAUUGCGUAAAUGCGACGAACCUAAGCUUCGUGAGAUGGGUUAAGUCGCCACAAGGUA
rnacentral:rRNA from 1 species